rnacentral:rRNA from 1 species
UAGGGAAUCUUCGGCAAUGGACGAAAGUCUGACCGAGCAACGCCGCGUGAGUGAAGAAGGUUUUCGGAUCGUAAAACUCUGUUGUUAGAGAAGAACAAGGACGUUAGUAACUGAACGUCCCCUGACGGUAUCUAACCAGAAAGCCACGGCUAACUACGUGCCAGCAGCCGCGGUAAUACGUAGGUGGCAAGCGUUGUCCGGAUUUAUUGGGCGUAAAGCGAGCGCAGGCGGUUUCUUAAGUCGGAUGUGAAAGCCCCCGGCUCAACCGGGGAGGGUCAUUGGAAACUGGGAGACUUGAGUGCAGAAGAGGAGAGUGGAAUUCCAUGUGUAGCGGUGAAAUGCGUAGAUAUAUGGAGGAACACCAGUGGCGAAGGCGGCUCUCUGGUCUGUAACUGACGCUGAGGCGCGAAAGCGUGGGGAGCAAACAGG